rnacentral:lncRNA from 1 species
CGAUUCGAUUAGGCCCAAUCUAGAACCGACCCGACCCAACCUUGAUCCGUCCUGACCCCGACCAGUCCCGACCCCACCCGACUUGUCAGACCGCCCUGGCCCCAUCCUUGGAUCCAUCCUCGAAGGCCCCGGCCUAAUCCAAAACCAAACCGACCCGGACGCGACCCCGACCCCACCUGAAAUCGACCCGACCUGGACC